GUGGCCUGGAAAGAAGUUCUGUAAAUUAGA
rnacentral:piRNA from 1 species